CAGAGUACCGGUGCCCUCUGGGCGCCUACUCCAACCCUUUGUGUACCUUAUCUGUUGCUUUGGCGGGCCGGUGCCCCUGGCGCCGCCGGCUCACGCUGGAGAGCGCCCGCCGGAGGAAACUCAAAACCCACUCACCGUGAAAAUCUGAGUAAAAAAACAAAUGAAUCA
rnacentral:misc_RNA from 1 species